GACGAACGCUGGUGGCGUGCUUAACACAUGCAAGUCGAACGGUAAGGCCCUUCGGGGUACACGAGUGGCGAACGGGUGAGUAACACGUGGGUGAUCUGCCCUGCACUUCGGGAUAAGCCUGGGAAACUGGGUCUAAUACCGGAUAGGACUCCUGGCUUCAUGGUUGGGGGUGGAAAGCUUUUGCGGUGUGGGAUGGGACCGCGGCCUAUCAGCUUGUUGGUGGGGUAAUGGCCUACCAAGGCGACGACGGGUAGCCGGCCUGAGAGGGUGACCGGUCACACUGGGACUGGGAUACGGCCCAGACUCCUACGGGAGGCAGCAGUGGGGAAUAUUGCACAAUGGGCGCAAGCCUGAUGCAGCGACGCCGCGUGAGGGAUGACGGCCUUCGGGUUGUAAACCUCUUUCAGCUAUGACGAAGCGCAAGUGACGGUAGUAGCAGAAGAAGGACCGGCCAACUACGUGCCAGCCGCCGCAGUAAUAC
rnacentral:rRNA from 1 species